rnacentral:rRNA from 1 species
AUACGGAGGGUGCAAGCGUUAAUCGGAAUUACUGGGCGUAAAGCGCUCGUAGGCGGCUUGUUAAGUCGGAUGUGAAAGCCCCAGGCUCAACCUCAGAACUGCCUCCGAAACUGGCGAUCUCGAGUCCGGAAGAGGUGAGUGGAAUUCCCAGUGUAGAGGUGAAAUUCGUAGAUAUUGGGAAGAACACCAGUGGCGAAGGCGGCUCACUGGUCCGGUACUGACGCUGAGGUGCGAAAGCGUGGGGAGCAAACAGGAUUAGAAACCCCAGUAGUCC